CAAAUCCGGAGUGAUUAUCGGAAGCGUGAUGACGAGUCUCUUUUGAGACGAAGUGGUUGAUACCAUGCUUCCAAGAAAAGUCCCUAAGCUUCAGGCAAAAGGAAUCCGUACCCCAAACCGACACAGGUGGGCGAGGAGAGUAUCCUAAGGCGUUUGAGAGAACUCGGGAGAAGGAACUCGGCAAAUUGGUACCGUAACUUCGGGAAAAGGUACGCCCCG
rnacentral:rRNA from 1 species